AUUGAACGCUGGCGGCAUGCCUUACACAUGCAAGUCGAACGGCAGCACGGGUGCUUGCACCUGGUGGCGAGUGGCGAACGGGUGAGUAAUACAUCGGAACAUGUCCUGUAGUGGGGGAUAGCCCGGCUAAAGCCGGAUUAAUACCGCAUACGAUCUACGGAUGAAAGCGGGGGACCUUCGGGCCUCGCGCUAUAGGGUUGGCCGAUGGCUGAUUAGCUAGUUGGUGGGGUAAAGGCCUACCAAGGCGACGAUCAGUAGCUGGUCUGAGAGGACGACCAGCCACACUGGGACUGAGACACGGCCCAGACUCCUACGGGAGGCAGCAGUGGGGAAUUUUGGACAAAGGGCGAAAGCCUGAUCCAGCAAUGCCGCGUGUGUGAAGAAGGCCUUCGGGUUGUAAAGCACUUUUGUCCGGAAAGAAAUCCUUGGCCCUAAUACGGUCGGGGGAUGACGGUACCGGAAGAAUAAGCACCGGCUAACUACGUG
rnacentral:rRNA from 1 species